CUGUCACCUAAUUUCUUCAGAUGUGAAUUCCUACCCUUUUGCUGGAAAUCUCAAGGGCAUUUGGUGUGCAAAAUACCUUUCAACCACAUUAUAAAAUUUGCUAUUAAAAGACUUACUGAUGUAAAUAGCUGAAGAGAUUUCAGAAACCCACAGAAAAAUAAUUUCUUCAAUGUCCUUUCAUGUGCUACAAAUAUCACUUCCAGCAAAAGCAGUGUAUGUGUGCUUCUCCAGUGCAGCUGGAUGGACUAGGCAAGAAGCUUUUCCAAAGAAUGUGGGGUCUGACUAUAAGCAAUUGGCCUAGCUGCAGCCUGAUGGUGUUUAUGUGGAAAACCGCAUCUCUGUUGGUAUCUACUAAUAAUCUGCACAGUGACAAAGCUACUAGUCAACUGGCUGUCAACAGGCUGCAGCUGGUAGCUGUGGAAGAUUUUAAUUUUAUUUUAAAUCACGACUGUGGGAGUACUUAG
rnacentral:lncRNA from 1 species